AACUGUCACACCACUACCAAGACAUCAUCAGUGACACUUAGGGGCUUCAUGAGUUAAAAUCAUGGAUAAAGCUGAAUGAGAAACACAGUGGGUCCUUAUGGGUUAAAGAUGUAAAGUGCAUAUGCUGUACUACUACUAAAGAAUAUAAAAGGAAAGUAAAGGAGAUGUAAUAGAAGUAGCUGUUGUAAAAAAAUAAAAUAUGUAUGCCAUUCAUGGAUUAUUUCUCCAUUGUUUGUUGCUGUUUUGAUUAUCAUGUAAUUUUCCAUUUUUAAUGGAGGAUAUCUACCUGUUUGGUGGCAAAACAACAAAUGAGGACGGCAUGUUGACAUCUUCCAAAGAAAUCCAUAAACUCAGUAUUUCUAAAAUGAAAUGGAAGGUUCCUCUGUACGUUGGGAUUCCUCCGGCCCGACGACACGGACACACUGCCUUCAUCCUUCACAGCCAUCUGUAUGUAUUUGGAGGAAAGAAUGAAGAGCAGGAGUUUAAUGACCUGAAGGUGAUGAAACUAAUUAACCCCUCGGAGAGACAACCAGGUAUUAUUCAUGUUUAUUUUAUUAAUAUACUUAUACUUAUAUAUUAGGGUCUGAAGCUGUAGUGUUUAUAACAGCAACAAUCUAAAUUUAUUUUUGUCACAUGCACAUGCCUGCCUGCUGCAAGAGUUGAAUUGUCUUGAAUUUUUUCCCAUGCGAGC